GACGAACGCUGGCGGCGUGCUUAACACAUGCAAGUCGAACGAUGAACCCGGAGCUUGCUCCGGCGGAUUAGUGGCGAACGGGUGAGUAACACGUGAGUAACCUGCCCUUGACUCUGGGAUAACUGCUAGAAAUGGUAGCUAAUACCGGAUACGACCCUCGGUGGCAUCACCAGGGGGUGGAAAGAAUUUCGGUCAAGGAUGGACUCGCGGCCUAUCAGCUAGUUGGUGAGGUAACGGCUCACCAAGGCGACGACGGGUAGCCGGCCUGAGAGGGUGGCAGGCCACACUGGGACUGAGACACGGCCCAGACUCCUACGGGAGGCAGGAGUGGGGGAUAUUGCACAAUGGGCGCAAGCCUGAUGCAGCAACGCCGCGUGAGGGAUGACGGCCUUCGGGUUGUAAACCUCUUUUAGUAGGGAAGAAGCGAAAGUGACGGUACCUGCAGAAAAAGCACCGGCUAACUACGUGCCAGCCGCCGCCGUAA
rnacentral:rRNA from 1 species